rnacentral:ncRNA from 1 species
AUAGGUGCCCUCUGCGAGGGAUAAUCGGGAAGUGUGGUUCGUUUGUUUUAAAAAACAAUUCCAUCGCUGCCCCCGCAUCGGUAAGAAAGAGUUUUAGUUUCGACUAAAGAGUUGUUUGCAUUAGCCACUGGCACUAUUCAUAUCAUAGUUUUGGGAAGGCGUAGACAAUGGCAAUAGCACUCUUUUAGCCCGAAGACCGGCCUGUUUUAUUUU